GACGAACGCUGGCGGCGUGCUUAACACAUGCAAGUCGAACGGAAAGGCCCUGCUUUUGUGGGGUGCUCGAGUGGCGAACGGGUGAGUAACACGUGAGUAACCUGCCACUGACUUUGGGAUAACUUAAGGAAACUGGGGCUAAUACCGGCUAGGAGCUCCUGCUGCAUGGUGGGGGCUGGAAAGUUUCGGCGGUUGGGGAUGGACUCGCGGCUUAUCAGCUUGUUGGUUGGGUAGUGUCAUACCAAGGCUUUGACGGGUAGCCGGCCUGAGAGGGUGACAGGCCACAUUGGGACGGAAAUACGACACAGACUCCUACGGUAGGCAGCAGUGCGGUAGAGUGUAUAGUGGGCGGAAGCCUAAUGCAGUAACGCCGCGUGCGGGAUGUCGGCCUUCGGUUUGUAUAGCGAUUUCGCCUGUGACGAAGCGUGAGUGACGGUAAUGGGUAAAGAAGCACCGGCUAACUACGUG
rnacentral:rRNA from 1 species